rnacentral:rRNA from 1 species
GACGAACGCUGGCGGCGUGCUUAACACAUGCAAGUCGAACGGAAAGGCCCUGCUUUUGUGGGGUGCUCGAGUGGCGAACGGGUGAGUAACACGUGAGUAACCUGCCCUUGACUUUGGGAUAACUUCAGGAAACUGGGGCUAAUACCGGAUAGGAGCUCCUGCUGCAUGGUGGGGGUUGGAAAGUUUCGGCGGUUGGGGAUGGACUCGCGGCUUAUCAGCUUGUUGGUGGGGUAGUGGCUUACCAAGGCUUUGACGGGUAGCCGGCCUGAGAGGGUGACCGGCCACAUUGGGACUGAGAUACGGCCCAGACUCCUACGGGAGGCAGCAGUGGGGAACAUUGCACAAUGGGCGGAAGCCUGAUGCAGCAACGCCGCGUGCGGGAUGACGGCCUUCGGGUUGUAAACCGCUUUCGCCUGUGACGAAGCGUGAGUGACGGUAAUGGGUAAAGAAGCACCGGCUAACUACGUG